CGCGUGUGUGAAGAAGGCUUUCGGGUUGUAAAGCACUUUCAGCGAGGAAGAAAGCCUCUGGGUUAAUACCCCAGAGGAAGGACAUCACUCGCAGAAGAAGCACCGGCUAACUCCGUGCCAGCAGCCGCGGUAAUACGGAGGGUGCGAGCGUUAAUCGGAAUUACUGGGCGUAAAGCGCGCGUAGGUGGCUUGGCACGCCGGUUGUGAAAGCCCCGGGCUCAACCUGGGAACUGCAUCCGGAACGGCCAGGCUAGAGUGCAGGAGAGGAAGGUAGAAUUCCCGGUGUAGCGGUGAAAUGCGUAGAGAUCGGGAGGAAUACCAGUGGCGAAGGCGGCCUUCUGGCCUGACACUGACACUGAGGUGCGAAAGCGUGGGUAGCAAACAGGAUUAGAUACCCUGGUAGUCCACGCCGUAAACGAUGUCGACUAGCCGUUGGGACCUUUAAGGACUUAGUGGCGCAGUUAACGCGAUAAGUCGACCGCCUGGGGAGUACGGCCGCAAGGUUAAAACUCAAAUGAAUUGACGGGGGCCCGCACAAGCGGUGGAGCAUGUGGUUUAAUUCGAUGCAACGCGAAGAACCUUACCUACCCUUGACAUCCAGAGAAGUUGGCAGAGAUGCCUUCGUGCCUUCGGGAACUCUGAGACAGGUGCUGCAUGGCUGUCGUCAGCUCGUGUUGUGAAAUGUUGGGUUAAGUCCCGUAACGAGCGCAACCC
rnacentral:rRNA from 3 species